GAAAUGCGAUACGUAAUGUGAAUUGCAGGAUUCAGUGAAUCAUCAAAAUCUUGAACGCACAUGGCGCCUUCGAGUCUUCGGAUUCUGAGGCAUAUCUGUUUGAGUGUCACUUACCCCUCUCACACAAAACACAAAUUUAUUUUUGAGUUUUUCAGUGUGGACGUUGACUGUUGUGUGCAGCCCGUGUGGCAGCGCACAUCGGUUUAAAAGCAGUGGUGAGAAGUUGCUCGACAACUCCUCGAACAAUGGCUGGGUAAGUUCUUCGGAACAAAACUAAGUCUGCGUUCUUGGGCUCAAGUAGUCAGCGGCGCUUGCCUGCGCAGGAUUGAAACGAGUUUGAAGUAGAUGCUGGCAACGGCGGAAACUGAUAGCUCGCGUCAACGCAAAAACCCUUUGACCU
rnacentral:misc_RNA from 1 species